CCAGUUGCAAAACAAGGAGAAGAUGCAGCUGUGCAGGUCGCUGGGAGCAGGCAGAGUGCUGUGCUUGUACACGAGUCCCAUGAGCUGCAGCAAAACCCAGUGCUGCUCCUCACAGCACUGCAGGAACUCUUUCUGGAAGUGAAGACCCAUUUUGUUUGUCAACCAUCCUGUGAUUCAUCAGCGUGCUGCUGGUGUGACCCAAAGAGCUGUGCUGAGCUCUGUGCUUUAAUCCACUGCAACUGAACUGCAAGACAUCAUUUUAACCAACUUUACAGCAAGACUGUGUUGCUUUAACCUGAUAAGACAGCAUUCAAAAUAUCCCGUACACAAAGAACUGAUGAAAAAACAAUGGGUGGUUGCUGCUUUUACUCUAGGCCAUGUGUAAGAAAGUGAAAAGCAAGUUCUUACAAUCCUCAUUCGGAUUUAUCAAGCAAGGACAAGGAAGUUUCAACCUGUGCAAACCAAAACCAAGCCAAAAUCCUGCUCAUCUCGAGGCAACUUAAGCACUGAUAUCCAGCUGAAUUAGUUCUACUAAGCACCUUCUCCUCUCCUCCUUUCCUGUCAGCUGUUUCCACCAUAAAUUAAAUGCAAACAUCAGUUAAGGCAUUUCUUAUGCCUGGCUGAAAACGUUUCCAAAGUCAAGCCGUUUCUUCACUUUCCUCUGUCAACAGUAUGAGCAAGGUUCACAUAACAUGCAAGAAAGGGAACGAGAUGAUUUCCCAACAACAGUGCGGGAAACGCAAAGUAUGGGUACUUCGAUAUCCACAGCCAGGCCAGAAACAUCAUCUGGAUUUCAACUGAACCAAUCCUAAGCCCAGGAGAAGCUCAUUUCAACGUCCUCUUCUUUAACUGGACUGCACUUUUGUGAUUCCAACCAGAAGCAUGAGCAAUAGAAGAUACAGUGAUGACAAACUAGGCGACUGCUUUGCUCCACUUGCAAAAAAAGCACAGGAUCUCUCUUCAAUGACGGAUGAAGUGCAUGCUCCAGACCUUCUCUCUCCCAUACGCCACUCCAGAGCAUGGUGCAGGAGAUGCAACAAUGGCAGCAGCAUGCAGGGAUAAGUUCAUGUGAAGCUGACAGGCAGCUGACAUUGGCAGAGAAACCCCCAGAGACACAAAAGCUGAGUCCAGCAACCCCCUCGUGGCUCUCCCCUUCUGCCAGCUCAGCUACUCCCAGCUCAUCUCUGACCCCACCUUGCAGCACUCCUCAACUCAGAGCUAACACCAUUCCAGCAAGCAUCAAGAUAUGUUUUGUAACUCCGGGGCCGGGCUGUCUUGUUUGCUAGGAUGACUGUAAGCUUGGAAACCACCUCCUAAGUAGACUAAAUUGGACAAUUUUCAUAAUACAAGUUU
ensembl:lncRNA